AAACAACCUUUGAUUCUCUGCAGCCUGCAUGAAAAACAUGGAACUUGACCCUCACAGCCCAAAGAAAUUGCCAAUGGAAGAAAAUUUGGGUGGGUGGGGCAGUAUGAAAGCAUGUGAAGUUAACCUACCUUCUCCUGCAAAAGCUGCUA